GAACCGUCCAAACGUUAUUCGGAAUCAUUGGGCUUAAAGGGUGCGUAGGCGGCGUGGUCAGUUGGGUGUGAAAUCCCUCGGCUCAACCGAGGAACUGCGCCCAAUACUGCCACACUCGAGGGAGACAGAGGUAAGCGGAACUGAUGGUGGAGCGGUGAAAUGCGUUGAUAUCAUCAGGAACACCAGUGGCGAAGGCGGCUUACUGGGUCUCUUCUGACGCUGAGGUACGAAAGCUAGGGGAGCGAACGGGGGAUUAGAUACCCCGGUAGUCCUAGCUGUAAACGAUGAGCACUUGAUCGGAGACUCCUCCAUAGGUUUCCGGUCGUAGCGAAAGUGUUAAGUGCUCCGCCUGGGGAGUAUGGUCGCAAGGCUG
rnacentral:rRNA from 1 species